GCACUUUUGACACCAUUGAGAUCUAUCUCGAUGACUUCAAUCGAGGCUGGCAACACCGCAUUGGGGAUGAUUGUAGAUAGAUAAGUAGCCUGGGGAGAUAUGGACAUCACUGGACCCUGUAAAAAGAAAAUGAGUUUAAUGCAUAGGAAGGACACAUUUAGACUACGUCCUAUAAUUAUUAUUUUCACCUGGGGCUCUAAGAAGAAGCUACUCUUUGAAGGAUUAAAGGAAGCGAAAGUAGUCAUGCCAGGGACCACAACAGACUUGGGUCUGAGGACAGAUGAGCGAUAGCAAUGGGAUCCAAAUUCUUGAUGGUUUAAGGGCUCCUCCUCCUCCUCGUACGCUUCCUGAGGAUGCUUUCUCGUUUGCUGCUUAUCACCAGUUACCUGCUUUGGAGUUGAGAAGUGAUCCGCAUCCAUAAAAAGUCAAAAACCAAAAGGACUUUGUAUGUUAAACACUUACCUCCAGGUCUGAAAGGUGCACCCUUGCUCCCUGCUUGGUCACUACUGGAGUCCCUCCAUCAAAAGUUGGAAUGAUGAAAACAUCUGAUUGGUUGUUGUUGUUGUUGGUAGAAACAACCUGCUGGAAGGUGGAACCUCUGUGUAAUGCUGGGAAAAGUGUACACUUUUAAAACUCUAUUAAAUAUGCUGUUGGAUACAGUGUGACUCUUAAACCUACCAAGUUCUUUCUGCACCUGGUUGGGAAUACCCAUGAUGGUUGUCCUCCUGUUCUUCUUUUUGUUCUGAUCUAACCUUUUCACUGGGUACAAAGGCUUAAAUGUCGAACCUUUAAAAAAGACAGAAUGAACUAAAGAGCUUAACUCAUAAUUCUGCCUUUUAAGAGCGAUACCAUACCUUGGCGAGUGAGUGCAGAUCUGGUGGACACAGUAUCUGUAAUCCCUGAGUUGGAUUGCCAUUCCAGUGUGCCCCCCUCAUUUUUGCAGUUAACAUCUUGUUCCGGAAGUGCUGUGUCUGACGACUGCGGUGCACAAAAACAUUGGAUGAAACACACAGAACAGUAGAAGAGAAGGAGGAUUCGCAACGUUUCUUCACUGACAAACUUACAGCAAUGCGUUCAUCUUCAGCAAAGUUCACUCCACUCUCGUGCUCUUUCGAAAGCAAAUCAACAGUAAGUAUAAAACUCAACAAACCAUAUAAAUGCAACUUACCUUCCUUCUGUUGUAUCUUCAAGCCCUCCUGAGCCUCCGAGUGCAGGUCCUCCAGGAACUGAGGCCUGCUGCCCUCGAUGAACACGUUCUCCUGGAAGUGUUGUGAGGCCGCGUAGUGGACCGACACCCUCUUCUGCUCGUCAUGGACCUUGGCACAAGCUGUCAAGAAAGGGAUAUUGAGCCUGCAGACUUCCAACCUGUUCAACAGGAGAUGGACACCUGACCACUGACUGUUUCUACUGGGAGACCUGACCAGUGACUGUUUCUACUGGGAGACCUGACCAGUGACUGUUUCUACUGGGAGACCUGACCACUGACUGUUUCUACUGGGAGACCUGACCAGUGACUGUUUCUACUGGGAGACCUGACCAGUGACUGUUUCUACUGGGAGACCUGACCAGUGACUGUUUCUACUGGGAGACCUGACCACUGACUGUUUCUACUGGGAGACCUGACCACUGACUGUUUCUACUGGGAGACCUGACCACUGACUGUUUCUACUGGGAGACCUGACCACUGACUGUUUCUACUGGGAGACCUGACCAGUGACUGUUUCUACUGGGAGACCUGACCACUGACUGUUUCUACUGGGAGACCUGACCACUGACUGUUUCUACUGGGAGACCUGACCAGUGACUGUUUCUACUGGGAGACCUAACCACUGACUGUUUCUACUGGGAGACCUGACC